rnacentral:ribozyme from 12 species
AAAAAAAAAAAAAAAAAAAAAAAAAAGGAGAGUUAGAAUGUAAGGGAGGGGUCUAGAAUGGCUACCUCUUUUUGUUCUUCUUUUCUUCUCUUCUUCCAAGUGUUUGGAGAAAGGGUAUCACUAACUAGUAGAAUGAAAUGGAGGGAAGGU